GCGGCAAGCUUAACACAUGCAAGUCGAACGGAUUAUUCUUUAUAGCUUGCUAUAAAGAAUAAUUAGUGGCAGACGGGUGAGUAAUGCAUAGGAAUCUACCUAGUAGUAUGGGAUAGCCACUAGAAAUGGUGGGUAAUACUGUAUAAUCCCUGCGGGGGAAAGAUUUAUCGCUAUUAGAUGAGCCUAUGUUAGAUUAGCUAGUUGGUAGGGUAAAGGCCUACCAAGGCGA
rnacentral:rRNA from 1 species